GUCGAGAAUCUUUCACAAUGGGGGCAACCCUGAUGGAGCGACGCCGCGUGGAGGAUAAGGUCUUCGGAUUGUAAACUCCUGUCAUGCGUGAACAAGGUUGCUUGGUUAAUACCUGGGCAAAUUGAUGGUAACGCAAGAGGAAGAGACGGCUAACUCUGUGCCAGCAGCCGCGGUAAUACAGAGGUCUCAAGCGUUGUUCGGAAUCACUGGGCGUAAAGGGUGCGUAGGUGGCGUGGUAAGUCAGAUGUGAAAGCCCGGGGCUCAACCUCGGAACUGGAUCCGAUACUGCCAUGCUAGAGUACUGGAGAGGUGACUAGAAUUCUCGGUGUAGCAGUGAAAUGCGUAGAUAUCGAGAGGAAUACCAAAGGCGUAGGCAGGUCACUGGACAGUUACUGACACUGAGGCACGAAGGCCAGGGGAGCGAACGGGAUUAGAUACCCGUGUAGUCC
rnacentral:rRNA from 1 species